rnacentral:rRNA from 1 species
AUUGAACGCUGGCGGCAGGCUUAACACAUGCAAGUCGAGCGGAGAUGAGGUGCUUGCACCUUAUCUUAGCGGCGGACGGGUGAGUAAUGCUUAGGAAUCUGCCUAUUAGUGGGGGACAACAUUCCGAAAGGAAUGCUAAUACCGCAUACGUCCUACGGGAGAAAGCAGGGGAUCUUCGGAUCUUGCGCUAAUAGAUGAGCCUAAGUCGGAUCAGCUAGUUGGUGGGGUAAGGGCCUACCAAGGCGACGAUCUUUAGCGGGUCUGAGCGGAUGCUCCGCCACACUGGGACUGAGACACGGCCCAGACUCCUACGGGAAGCAGCAGUGGGGAAUAUUGGACAAUGGGGGGAACCCUGAUCCAGCCAUGCCGCGUGUGUGAAGAAGGCCUUAUGGUUGUAAAGCACUUUAAGCGAGGAGGAGGCUACUGAGACUAAUACUCUUGGAUAGUGGACGUUACUCGCAGAAUAAGCACCGGCUAACUCUGUGCCAGCAGCCGCGGUAACAC